rnacentral:rRNA from 1 species
UUUAAAAGACCUAGCAAUAGGUAUGCUUAGGGAGGAGCUUGCGUCACAUUAGUUAGUUGGUGGGGUAAAGGCCUACCAAGACUAUGAUGUGUAGCUGGGCUGAGAGGUUGAACGGCCACAUUGGGACUGAGACACGGCCCAAACUCCUACGGGAGGCAGCAGUAGGGAAUUUUCGGCAAUGGAGGAAACUCUGACCGAGCAACGCCGCGUGAACGAUGAAGUAUUUCGGUACGUAAAGUUCUUUUAUUAGGGAAGAAUAAAUGAUGGAAAAAUCAUUCUGACAGUACCUAAUGAAUAAGCCCCGGCUAACUAUGUGCCAGCAGCCGCGGUAAUACAUAGGGGGCAAGCGUUAUCCGGAAUUAUUGGGCGUAAAGGGUGCGUAGGCGGUUAAAUAAGUUUAUGGUCUAAGUGCAAUGCUCAACAUUGUGAUGCUAUAAAAACUGUUUAGCUAGAGUAAGAUAGAGGCAAGUGGAAUUUCAUGUGUAGUGGUAAAAUGCGUAAAUAUAUGGAGGAACACCAGUAGCGAAGGCGGCUUGCUGGGUCUUUACUGACGCUGAGGCACGAAAGCGUGGGGAGCAAACAGGAUUAGAUACCCUGGUAGUCCACGCCGUAAACGAUGAGUACUAAACGUUGGGUAAAACCAGUGUUGAAGUUAACACAUUAAGUACUCCGCCUGAGUAGUACGUACGCAAGUAUGAAACUUAAAGGAAUUGACGGGACUCCGCACAAGCGGUGGAUCAUGUUGUUUAAUUCGAAGGUACCCGAAAAACCUCACCAGGUCUUGACAUGCUUCUGCAAAGCUGUAGAAACACAGUGGAGGUUAUCAGUUGCACAGGUGGUGCAUGGUUGUCGUCAGCUCGUGUCGUGAGAUGUUGGGUUAAGUCCCGCAACGAGCGCAACCCUU